rnacentral:misc_RNA from 1 species
GAUGAAGAACGCAGCGAAAUGCGAUACGUAAUGUGAAUUGCAGAAUUCAGUGAAUCAUCGAAUCUUUGAACGCACAUUGCACUCUCUGGUAUUCCGGAGAGUAUGCUUGUUUGAGUAUCUGUAAACAUCUCAAAUCUCUCUUCGCUUGCGUCGAGAGAAUUGGAUUUGAGCGAUCCCGACUCCUUCGUCAGAAAGAGGAGGGUCGCUUGAAAUGCAGGUGCAGCUGGACAUUCUUCUGAGCUAAAAGCAUAUCUAUUUAGCCCCGUCAAACGGAUUAUUACUUUUGCUUCAGCUAAUAUAAAGGUCGAAUGAACUACCAACGCUGAUUGCAGGAAAACUCGUUUGUAACAGAACUUGUAAACUCGAUCUCAAAUCAAGUAAGACUACCCGCUGAACUUAAGCAUAUCAAUAAGCGGAGGA